GAUGAACGCUGGCGGCGUGCUUAACACAUGCAAGUCGAACGAAGCACUUUAUUUGAUUUCCUUCGGGACUGAUUAUUUUGUGACUGAGUGGCGGACGGGUGAGUAACGCGUGGGUAACCUGCCUUGUACAGGGGGAUAACAGUUGGAAACGGCUGCUAAUACCGCAUAAGCGCACAGCAUCGCAUGAUGCAGUGUGAAAAACUCCGGUGGUAUAAGAUGGACCGCGUUGGAUUAGCUAGUUGGUGAGGUAACGGCCCACCAAGGCGACGAUCCAUAGCCGACCUGAGAGGGUGACCGGCCACAUUGGGACUGAGACACGGCCCAAACUCCUACGGGAGGCAGCAGUGGGGAAUAUUGCACAAUGGGCGAAAGCCUGAUGCAGCGACGCCGCGUGAGCGAAGAAGUAUUUCGGUAUGUAAAGCUCUAUCAGCAGGGAAGAUAAUGACGGUACCUGACUAAGAAGCACCGGCUAAAUACGUG
rnacentral:rRNA from 1 species